rnacentral:rRNA from 1 species
AGGACGAACGCUGGCGGCGUGCUUAACACAUGCAAGUCGAGCGGUAAGGCCUUUCGGGGUACACGAGCGGCGAACGGGUGAGUAACACGUGGGUGAUCUGCCCUGCACUCUGGGAUAAGCCUGGGAAACUGGGUCUAAUACCGGAUAUGACCUGCUCUCGCAGUGGGGGUGGGUGGAAAGAUUUAUCGGUGCAGGAUGGGCCCGCGGCCUAUCAGCUUGUUGGUGGGUAAUGGCCUACCAAGGCGACGACGGGUAGCCGACCUGAGAGGGUGACCGGCCACGACGUGGGACUGAGACACGGCCCAGACUCCGUACGGGAGGCAGCAGUGGGAAUAUUGACACAAGUGGGACGAAAGCCUGACUGACAGGCGACGCCGCGU